AGCUUCCCGCCCGGCCCGGCCGCGUCCUGGCUGCGGGGAAGGGCCCCGGGAGGAGCCGUCCUGACGGCGGGCCCGGGCCCAGCAGGUCCUUCUGCCAGGAGAGCAGACCUGCAAGAUUCGCAAACUCCCGCGGGUCGUGGAAAAUGCAGCUUAUGACAGUGUCUUCUGGGAAGACGCUUGUGCUAGGAGCCUCUCCUAUGUGGUCUGCGCUUCUCUGGGGAUGCGCAUCCGCAUCUUGUAAUACCUGUGGUUAUUCCUUUAUAUUCCCGACUAGCCUGUAAACGCUCGUGGGCAGCUCUGUGUCUGUCCUGAUCAGUGCUGUACCAUCAGGGAAGGAAUGAGAGGGAGAAGGGAGAAAAAGAAGAGGAAGGUACGAUGGCCGCAAUUGGUUACAGUCAGCACUGACCCAUCAGCAGGAAGGUUCCUCCGCACUGGGCUCUCCGAUGUGGGAGGUGGAGUUUACAGAGCCUGCCUCAAAUAUUCUAGGCUCCUUUCCCCCCAUCCUUCUACCCAUUGAUUCCUACUGCUCAGGUCUGAGCACAAUGGCGGGAAGUUGACGGACCUGGGGAAAUCCUGAGGUAAGGUAAACUGUCGCGGGGCAGACGGCCUCAACACUUUGUCGUCCAUCCCAUUCCAGACGCCUGGUACCCACGUGGGUGCUUGCCCUGGAAGCAAUACCUGAGGAGAGAAAAUUAACGCCCCGUGUGGUGGCAAGUCUGGUGGCAGGCAGCGUGGGCUACAAGGAGAUCUGGGUGGGGUUCGGGGAGGAGAGAGGGCCGGUGGCUGCCUUGGACGUAGAGUAGCAGCAUAGAGAUGGGUGGGGUCUAGGCACGACCUAGAAGUGGUCUGCCAACCUCUCAGAAAUCCUUUGCAAAUGACAACCACAUACCUGUUUCCUGCCUCUGUAGUUCUGCCUUUUCCAGAAUGUCGUAUAAACGCAAUCAUACAAUAUGCAGUCUUUUGAGGAUGAUGGACCCCCCACCACCACCACUUCCGCUCCAGGGAGUUUCAGAUGAGACUGCAGCCGCAGCUGACAAGGUCUGCCAGGAAGAUGAGUCACAUUGUGCUUCCUUCUCAUGGUGGUUCAGCAACUUCAUCUGUGUGCAGCUCCAAUACGCAGGAGAAUGAACCUCCAUGAGGUUGGGCAGACCACUGAUGCCUCAUGUUUUAAAAGAUCUACCCAAUACUUUGAUCAACAAACUCAAAUGCCAUGAGAGCUCACCAAUGUUAACACUAAAAGCCUGGAAGGUCUAUGUGGCCAGCCCUGGGCUACCAGUGGCACAUAGUGAAAGAAGGUGGAGAGAAUAUGGACAAAGAAGGGAAUAGUGAAGAAGAAAACUCUGAGAGGAAGAGGCGGAAGGAAACAAGCAACUAAGAAAAACGGCUUCUGAUACCAACCCCCUAUCAAGUAGAAUUCUCUGACACUAUGUCUCAUUAAAAUGUGUUAUUUGCACCAGGA